rnacentral:rRNA from 1 species
AAGCGCUUGCAACCAGACUUGCGCGCUGAUGAUCAUCCGGGCUUCUGCCCGGUGCACUCGUCUGCGCUCAGGCCAGCAUCGGUUUCGGUGGUGGGAUAAAGGCCUUGGGAAUGUAGCUCUUCCGGGAGUGUUAUAGCCCGUUGCACAAUACCUCUGAGGGGACCGAGGUUCGCGCUCUGCAAGGAUGCUGGCGUAAUGGU